ACUAGGAUGGCCGAGUGGUUACGGUAUUGGACUUAACAUCCAAUGGGAGCCAGCCCACAUGGGUUUAUAUCCCACUGCUGGUA
rnacentral:tRNA from 1 species